rnacentral:rRNA from 1 species
GGAGGAGGCAAGCGUUGUCCGGAAUCAUUGGGCGUAAAGAGCGCGUAGGCUGUUUUUCAAGUCAUAUGUGAAAACCUCAGGCUUAACUUGAGGACUGCAUAUGAAACUGGGAAACUUGAGUGCAGUAGGGGAAAGUGGAAUUCCUGGUGUAGCGGUGAAAUGCGCAGAUAUCAGGAAGAACACCGGUAGCGAAGGCGGCUUUCUGGGCUGCUACUGACGCUGAGGCGCGAAAGCUAGGGGGGAGCAAACAGGAUUAGAUACCCUGGUAGUCCUAGCUGUAAACGAUGGACACUAGGUGUGGGAAGUUAUCGACGCUUUCCGUGCCGGAGCUAACGCAUUAAGUGUCCCCGCCUGGGGAGUACGGUCGCAAGCUA